UACGAAGGGUGCAAGCGUUGUUCGGAAUUACUGGGCGUAAAGCGCGCGUAGGCGGGUUGGUAUGUCGAUUGUGAAAGCCCUGGGCUUAACCUGGGAAUUGCAGCCGAAACUGCCAAUCUUGAAUGUCUGAGAGGAUGGCGGAAUUCCCGGUGUAGUAGUGAAAUACGUAGAUAUCGGGAAGAACACCUGAGGCGAAGGCGGCUAUCUGGCGGUACAUUGACGCUGAGGCGCGAAAGCGUGGGGAGCAAACAGG
rnacentral:rRNA from 1 species